AACAAUGUUGUGUGUAUUACCUAAUUUGUCGAUCUUUUAUGGUUUUUGAACAAAUUAACUCCUUCUUCUUAUGUGUUCGUAAGGUUGUUGGGGCAGUAGCGAUGGAUGUGGAUGUUGAUUCUUCAAAGACAAAUUCCAAUUCCGAGGAUCCGAAGUCUGAAAAGGGGAAGGGUGAACGCAAGCUCUACGUGGGAUCUCAAGCCUUGAAUUACUGCAGGGAUCAAAGACGAUAUUCUUUCUGAUUGGGAUUUGGUGGACAACAUAUGGGAACAUGCUUUCAGGAGUUGUCUGAUUAUUGAUCCUAAGGAGCAUCCAAUGCUGCUAGCUGAGCCUCCUUUAAACACUCAACAAGCUGUAGACUACUCUGUUUUCAGAAUCUGCAGGUUUCAAGAUCCUCGGGUUGCAAGACAGACUCUCUAACAGAGUGGGAUAUUCCUUCUGGUGACACCUCUUAUUGAGUAUGUGAGGACUUAAACCAAGCCAAAAGAAGGGACGUUGUUACUUGCUCUUCUCGAUAUCGGUUUCUGUUCUCUUUGUAAAGGAUUGUUGUUCAUCUUUCUCAUUGCUAUAGGGCUUGGAAACUCGAUCUGAGUUAUCAUCGUUUUUAUUUCCAUAGUUCUCCCUCUGCUUGAUAUACAUAUUCUUCUUCUGCCCAAAAGGUGUAUGUUGUGUUUGCUAUUGUGUUCUUUUAGUGGUCCUUUUCAGCCGAUUCUUCUUUUAUUUAUGACAAUAUUUUGAGAACUUUCAGUUUUACUGUCUCUAGGUUCUUAACGAGGCCAGUUUGUUGUGGUUCAGUAACACACAACUCCAACGCAACUAGAAAGAAAGCAAUGAAGUCAAAGACGUCUUACGACAGAGCCUGUCUUCUCUUCAACGCUGGAUCUGAAGAAACUGUGGUGUGGAGAUGGCAGAGGAAGCUAGCUGUGGUGGUGGGAGCUGAGCAAGAAUAAGAA